UACAUAUCGCAUUCAUUCACUUCCAUCCAUGCGAGCAUGCAGGGCAAUCAUGCAUUCAAUUGCAUGACUGUACUGUUGUCACGUCACCAUCUGAGCCGCGUGUUAAAUGUAUGUAAUGUAAAUGUACUAAAUAAAUAUGUGACCGCUGGCAAAUAGGCGGGACUUCCUUCCGGCUGUCAGCAGAGUUGGGCUGUUUAUCUCGGCGCGUUCACGCUAACAGUGCAGCGAUCAGAUAGCGAGCUUUCGGCACACGAUGCAUGGUCAUCUUCUGCGUGGAGGUCUGGGCCCUCUGGCCCUCUUGUGGACCCUGACGGCACCUUUAGUUUCCCUCCAGGACUUGAGAGAGCGCCCCAAGCUGCUCCUGGUGUCCUUCGAUGGCUUCCGCUGGGACUACGUGAACCGGGUUCCCACGCCAAACUUCCACAUCCUGAUGGAGGAAGGCGUGACGGUGGAGCAGGUGGAGAGCGCCUACAUCACAAAGACCUUACCCAACCAUUACAGCCUGGUGACGGGCCUCCACGCCGAGACGCACGGCAUCGUCGCUAACGAGAUGUUUGACCCGGUCCUCAACCGCUCCUUCUCCAUGGAGACGGACAGCAUCUAUGAGUCCCAGUGGUGGGAGCAGGCGGAGCCCUUGUGGGUUACCAUACAGAAGUCCGGCGGGCGUAGCGGCGCCGCUAUGUGGCCCGGUUCAGACGUGACGAUCCACGGAAUGUUCCCUACUCGGUACCUCCCAUACAAUGCCUCAGUUCGCUUCGAGACCCGGGUGGAGCACCUGGUCGAAUGGUUUUCUGCUCCUGACAAGGAGGCGGUGGAUUUCGGGGUCCUGUACUGGGAGGAACCUGACGAGAGCGGGCACGAUUUCGGACCAGAGAGCUCCCUGAUGGACGGUGUCAUCGCCGACGUGGAUGAGAAACUCGGCUUCCUGCGCAAUGAGCUGAAGAAGGCGGGCCUGUACGGGAGGGUCAACCUGGUGGUGACCAGCGACCACGGCAUGACGCAGCUCUUCGCCCAUAAGAUCAUCGAACUAGACGAGUACGUGAGCAGAGACCUCUACACCUGGGUGGACAAAAGUCCCGUGGUGGGAAUACUGCCCAAAGAAGGGAAGCUGGACGAGGUGUACGACAAGUUGGCCGACGCCAACCCCUACAUGGCGGUCUACCGGAAGGACGCCAUCCCCGAACGCCUCCACUACCGCCAUAAUGCAAGGAUCAUGCCCAUCCUGGUGGAGGCUCGGGAGGGAUGGACCAUCGUGCAGAACAGGAGCACGCCGCUCAUGAUGGGAAAUCACGGCUACGACAACACUCUGCGCAGCAUGCAGCCCGUCUUCCUGGCCCGCGGCCCGGCCUUCCGCCGGAACUAUGUGAAGCCCACCAUGCGCUCUGUGGACCUGUACCCUCUCAUGUGCCACAUCCUGGCUGUCCCGCCUCUGCCCAACAACGGCUCCCUCUCGAAUAUCCGGGACCUGCUGCACCCGGAGCCCACGGCGUCCCCGCCCGGCGUCCCCACCCCCCCGGGGCCGGCGGGGGCCUCCCACUUCCCCGCGGUGGUUGGCUUCCUCCUGGGGGCGAUGCUGGUUGUGGGCUUCCUGGUGGUGUUCGUGCGGCAGGUGACGCUCAAGCAGCUGCCGUCGCUCAAACACACCAGUAGGGAGAUGUCGCAGCCUUUACUGCAAGAGGACUUGCACCUGUAGCCGGAAGCAAGCAGAAAUGCUGGACUUGUACCCCCACCUGGAGGAGGUCCAAUCAGGAGCAGGUGGGGAAGCUGGUCCUAGUGUGGAGGCUCAACUUCUGGUGCUCUGAUGCGGCCAUUUUGUGGGAUCUCUGUGGAAAAAGGCAAGUGUUUUAAAGCCUAAAAAGUUAGCGCUUUUGUGCAAAAUGCUUAAAAAAAAAAAAAAAGGAGUAUACUUGCAACUCUUAGUGUUUCCCAGUGUUGUUGUUUUUUUAAUAGUAAUAUGAAAAAUAUCGCUAUCAUAAUGAUGCGCCUGAGGGCCGGAUUCUGAAACAAGGCAAAGACUUUGAGACAAUUUCUCACAAAAAUAGUGUGAGGUGUGGCAAAGAGCCCAGGAAAGAUAUUUUCUUCCUAUGGAAAGCCGUUUGAACAUUUAUUUGAUAUCUAGCGUAAGGUCCAUGUACAAGUUUGGGGCGCCAAACUAAUUUUUGUCACGGGCCACCUCGUAGUUAUGGUUUCUUUUAAAGGGCCGUUAUGACUGUGAACCCUUAUAAAUGUAUGAUCGUCUCACAAUAUUACAUAUACACAAUGAAUUGAUUGAUAGCUAGUUUUGAAAUCAGAACCCGAGUAAAAAAAAAUUUGUUCAACUAUUAUUCAGUUUAUUUUAAAAGGGGGAUUGGUAAGAAAAAAAAAUGCUUGCAAUAUUACUGAAACUGUUCUCAACUGCCUUACCUGGUUAGUUGGAAAAAAAAUAAACUACAACUACUAGUGAAGUGCUAGAUGAUAAUGUCGUAUGCAUUUGUGAACUAGUGGACCGUUUUGCUUCACCAGCAACGUAGCUGUCUUACUAGUAGGGCUGUCACUACCAAAUCUUUUUAGAAUCAAUUAUCCUAUAAAUAUUUCAUCGAGCAAUUGUCAUUUUCAAAAAUAUUUUGGGGUUUUACGACUAGCAUGCAUUUUAUUCUCAUUUAUGAGGGCUGGACUUCUAUCCUUAAAUUGUAUGUUGGUACUGAGUAUAUGGUAUAAACUCUCUACAGAAUUUGACUCUCUUCAGAUUCAGCCUUUGCUAAACGAUUUAGCAUUUGCGAUUAGCAUUAGCACCCUAGCGAUGAUUAUUUUAGGUAAAAAAAAAACAAACAAAAAACGCUAACUACCAUAAGCUCACUUAGACAUGUUAUAUGUACAUUACACAUCUAAUAGUGUCUUAAAAAUCACUUAUAGAUGCUGCUUUGUCAUUUUUGGCAAUGUUUUUCACUGGCCAAACAGGACGUCCGUCUGCAACAAAUGUCCGUGCGCUAACCAUGGACAGUGGCCAAAUCGUUUCUGUCAGUGCAGAUUGGGUCUGAGCGGCACAAAUAUGCUUUUGCGAAUAUUUUAUAUUGCCUCGAGGCAGAAACCUUUGCCUCAAACAAUGUUUGUGGUCGACUGAUGUUCUUUUUUUUUUUGCACAGCCCUACUUACUAGUAUGAGUUGUCUUACUACUGGGGACAAGGCGUGCACUACUACUAUGUGGAUGUGAAGAAGGAUAUCAAGGAUGUGGGAUAAAUGCUCCAACGGCUUUCCAUGUCCUCCUUUGUUUGAAUGUCAGCCGGCGAGCGCUCCUACCUGUCAAUCAUUCCAUUCAGCAUCGCUAUGUGUCGUACAGUCUUUGCGUGUGAUCUGUCCUUUGAGAUAUCUAUGUGGGUGGAAUGUGAAGUGCAGUUUUGCCAUCGUGAGUAUUUUCUCUCUCUGGAAGUUUUUAUCCUCUUUGCUUUGGGCUAGAACUGUUCCUGCGAUUUGCACUACAUGACCGACAGGGAUCAGUAGGUUACAGUAUAUACUUUGCACUUCAUGUUGUAGUAUUAAACAAAAACAAACAAAAAAAGAAGUUAGGUGCCUCUCGCCAAAAAGCUUUUAAAUCAGCGUAGUCACAAAAGUGUUAGCGAUUUACUGAAAUUUGUAUUUUUCUUGUCUUUAUGGCUUUCAGAUUAUUGUUGCGCUAACAAGGUAGCUGAGCACCCCACAAAUGACACUGUGAUGUAUUGUUUUUAAAUUUCUAUGAUACAUUUUCAGAUUGAAAGAAAAAGUGUCUUGUUGACAGAUGAAUGAACACACACGCACACACACAAAUGAUUUGUUCAAAGAAUGAUUGCCAGAUGAGUUGCAUUUGUGAAAUGUAACAAACUUGGUCAAGAAAUGAACUGUAUUUGCCAUGUUAACAGGAUUAAAAUGCCUUCUGAGUUAAAAGGAGUUUUAAAGUUGCUUUGAGUUUCUACUCAUUGAAGGACUAUGAGAUUAUAUUAUUUAUUCAUUAAAUAUUUUCAAAAAAUAAAAUGCAUUCAAAGACAA